GCUAUGAUUGCACCACGGCACUCCAGCCUGAAUGAGAAUUGAUUUCUAUAAUUAUAUGGAAGCAUGUGAAAACCCUACCAUUUCCAAGGAUCUGACCAACAAUUACAGCAGGAAAUGUGGUCAUCUAAUUUAACUCUUAAACAUCAUCAGCAAGACUAAAAGCUUGGAUGCAUCCCAAUUAUCCCCACAAAUUAAUGGUCAGACAUUCUGGAUUUUCAUGGUUUUGGCUUCAGAAAAUUCUAAGUCUAGAAAGCAGCUGUUUCUAUGGGUAUCCCAAAGAAGAAAA